CAGCCGCCGCGGGAAUACGGAGGGUGCAAGCGUUAAUCGGAAUUACUGGGCGUAAAGCGCACGCAGGCGGUCUGUCAAGUCAGAUGUGAAAUCCCCGGGCUUAACCUGGGAACUGCAUUUGAAACUGGCAGGCUAGAGUCUUGUAGAGGGGGGUAGAAUUCCAGGUGUAGCGGUGUAAUGCGUAGAGAUCUGGAGGAAUACCGGUGGCGAAGGCGGCCCCCUGGACAAAGACUGACGCUCAGGUGCGAAAGCGUGGGGAGCAAACAGGAUUAGAUACCCCUGUAGUCCCUGUCUCUUAUAA
rnacentral:rRNA from 1 species